rnacentral:rRNA from 1 species
GGAGUUAGCCGGUGCUUCCUUCUGUGAGUGAUGUCCUUCCUGCCGGUUAUUGACCCGCAGGCCUUCUUCCUCACUGAAAGUGCUUUACAACCCGAAGGCCUUCUUCACACACGCGGCAUGGCUGGAUCAGGGUUGCCCCCAUUGUCCAAUAUUCCCCACUGCUGCCUCCCGUAGGAGUCUGGGCCGUGUCUCAGUCCCAGUGUGGCUGAUCAUCCUCUCAGACCAGCUACGGAUCGUCGCCUUGGUGAGCCGUUACCUCACCAACCAGCUAAUCCGACAUAGGCUCAUCCGAUAGCGCGAGGCCCGAAGGUCCCCCGCUUUCCCCCGUAGGGCGUAUGCGGUAUUAGCCUGGGUUUCCCCAGGUUAUCCCCCACUACCGGGCAGAUUCCUAUGCAUUACUCACCCGUCCGCCGCUCGCCACCAGGGAGCAAGCUCCCCGUGCUGCCGCUCGACUUGCAUGUGUUAGGCCUGCCGCCAGCGUUCAAUCUGAGCCAGGAUCAAACUCUGA